UCUAAUUAUUUUGUUACUUUGUAUGUGACAGUAUGUCAAUGUCUCAAUUAAAAUAAUUAAUAUCACCAGCCAUAUCAUUUUAAAUAUUUAAAAAGUAGACAUAGAUUUUUAUUAUAUUAUAAAUAGAUAGAUUAGAUCUACAUAUAAUUUUACAAACUUUAGAAAUGAUUUUUUUUUUUUUUUUUAUUGAUAAGCCUUCUAGACUAGAUCUAGCAUCUCUAGCUAGACUCUAACAUGUAGAUUGUAGAUCUUUGAAUUGGAUCGAUAUUCACCUUCCUAAAUUGUCUCUAAAGUCUAUAGCUGAUUUGAGAGGCCCAACGAGUCUAUUAGUACUCUGUCUCUUGAUCUAUCUAGUAGGCCUACUAAGCUAGUGCAUUAGCCAUAGUGUAGUCAAAUCUUGACAACUAGUCUUCUAGAUCUAAGCUUCUAGAAUAAUUAGAUCUAGAUCCAGUUUAGAUUUAGAGUAUAAAAGUUUUUACUACCUAAAAUACUAAAUCUACUGAUCUAAAUUCUAGAUAUAUAGAUCCAGUUCAGAUUAGGAUAUAAAAAUAUUCCACUAGCUAAAAUUCUAAAUCUACUGAUCUAUACUUAAUAUGUUAGAUAUUAUAUGACAUCUAUCUACAAAAAUUAUUAUUAAGAUAUAAUUAUAGAUUCUAGACUAGUUAUAUAUGUACAUAAAAUAUAUAAAUAAAAGAUACAAUUUAUGCAGGCCUAGGUCCCAUAAAUUUAUAAUUGAUCCAGAUCUAUCAGUAAAAGUUACCUUCGAUUGGCAGUUUUACCCAAUCUAAUCUAUACAAGACAAUUUAUAAUCCAUGCCUUGCCUACACCCCAUAUAUAUUAGUUUCCAUUCCAUGCCAUACCCAGACCCAUGAGUUCAUGAAAUAAUAAAUGAUGUGGUGUCAAGUUGGAUCUAUCCCCUGAAAUUCAGUACUUUAAUAUAAAACUCACAUAUCUAGUUAAUUAUUUGCUGACACUCUGAUAAACUUGGACUUGUGUGAUACAUAUAUGUUUCUUAUCAGAUUUAAUUAAUGAAGUUUAGGUGCAUUUUAACCAGUAAUAAGGCUACAAAAGUAGCAUCAGGUGUAUUCUAACCAUUGGUAUUUUUCCUGGCAACAUUUCUAUUCUAGUCUGUGAUAAAUUAUAAAUAAAAAAAAAUGUUUGUAAUGUUUCAGUUAUUAACAAGUAGAACCAUGGCAACCAGUUCUGAUGAUGUACCAGAAUGGCUCAAGGAUCAUACUUAUACUAUUUCUACUCUCUGGGCAUCCAUUCAAUAUUUAAUUUAUGUUUGGAAAUGCAAGAAAAAGGCAUGCAUUCCUGAAAAGUCAAUGAUUGGUUGCACCUCUUAAAGAUAACUUUCUGUUAUGAGAAAAGAUGAGAUUCUUGGACUCCUGCAUAGCACCACCAGAAAGGAAAAUCCCAUCAUGUUGCAAAAUAAAAGUCUUGGACCAAUUUUAAUUUAAGAUAUAUAUAUUAUACUGUAAGCUGUAUACAUAUUUAUGUAUAUCCUGUCAUUCAGCCAACAGGUUUGGAUUUAGUAUUUCUUUAAAUCUGUUUGAUAUUGUACUUGAAAACUAUUAAUCUGAGCCCCAUUAAAACAAGAGGGAGUGCAGUGGAUGAGUGGUAAGGGAAAUUUUACUUUUUUAAAAUUAAAAUAAGAAUCUAACAAAAGUAAACAUAUAAAAUAUGGUGCAUUCUCCUUCAAACUAAAACCUGGUGCAAAGGUUUAAAAUGUUGGCAAAAAAAAAGCAACAUCAAUUAAAUAUUCUUAAUUCCCUUUGCAAAACUUACUGAGAAGAACAUGCAUGUUGUUCCCUCAUAAGUUUCUUGACAGAGGAAAUCUUGUUUAUAUUAGAUUUGAAUUAAGCAAAUUAAGAAAAAAAAUUAUAAUCAUUAUUUCAAAUGGUUGUAUCUAAACCUUAUGAAUUAUUUUUCAGUUAUAAGUAUAUUGAAAUGAAUGGAUAAUCAUGAAAUUGUUAAAUAAUUGCUGCUAUCAUUCCAUUGACUAAAGAACCAUAAUUUUUUUUAAAAAUUAAUUUCAAAAUUAAUUAAUUAAUUAAUUUUCAAGCAGAGUUCACAUAGAUCUUGAGUGAAAUUUUUCUUUUUUUGACUAAUGCUUCAAUUUUAUUGUAUCAUUAGUUUUUUAUUUUUAUUACCCAGAAUAUUUUAAAAAUGAGUACACUAUUUUCAUGUAAUAAUGUAACUUGGUAUUUACACAUCAAAAUACGCUAUAAUCUUUAGGCCAUAUAGAUUUGUAUAAAUAUAAAUUAAUUUACUUAAAUACACUGUAAAUGUAUAUUGUUUGGAUAAGAAUAAAGUUUUUCUGUAGACAAUUAU